AAGUCGUAACAAGGUCUCCGUUGGUGAACCAGCGGAGGGAUCAUUACAGAGUUGCAAAACUCCCAACCAUUGUGAACCUACCUCACCGUUGCUUCGGCGGGUGCCCCCCACCGGGGCCGCGCCGGCCCCCGUGCCGGCAGCCCGUCAGAAGACCAAAACUCUUCGUCAUCAGUGGCCUCUCUGAGUAACUUAUACAAUAAGUCAAAACUUUCAACAACGGAUCUCUUGGUUCUG
rnacentral:misc_RNA from 1 species